CUCCAAAGCCUGCCCCCAAUCCAGGGCAACAAUUUACCGGUUAAUUCUCCCCAUAUUUGGAAUUUUAAAAACAACGCAUUUGCGCAGAAUCUAGG